ensembl:lncRNA
CUCCUUUCUCUUGCUAAACAGGAUGCUUCUUGAUGCAUGAACCAUUUCAUAGAACCAAUUGGACCUUCAAGUUUACUCAAUUGAAUUUUUAUUAUUUGACACUCCAUUGGCUGUCAGAGCUAGAUGGUUUGGGGACUCAUUCUUUGGAUGGCAGCUGUGAAAGUUGGGGUGCUAGGUGUGUGGACAAGCUGCUUCCAGGGAGAUGCUGGCGACAGUUCUAUUGGAGCAAGUCAGAGGGAGAAGGCAAAGUGCCACCGGCUCUUUUCAGCCAGAUCCAGGCUUCACAAAAAGCUGGUGAUCUGGGAUGAUUCCACCCUUUCUUGGUUGGGAGAGAAUGAAGGAGAGACCGUGGUGCAGAACUGGAGUCCAGCAUUAUACAUUGUAAUACUCCUAAGACAUCCCAAGGGAGAGGCUAUUAACCUUGCUUUGGACAUGAGGAAAUGGAGCCUAAAAGGAGUUAAGUGAAUUUGCUCAAGCUCAUGAAGGAAGAAGUGAUGGAACAGGCUGCAAGACCAUCUUCUCUGCAAGGCUCUUCCUUCAUGAAAUCUCAUAAUACCAGUUUGCAUGGACCACUGCGUUGCCAUGGUGCUGACUGUUUGCAACUUGACCUUUCAGCUCCCCUGCCCAUGGCCAUCUGACAACCUCUGCAUCUCUUGGUUUAAGUUCUGAAAACAGAAUCUGACAUUCAUUCAGGGCCGGUUGUGCCUGAAAAUUGAAGUCACUUCAAACAAUCAUCAUUCUGUUCUUUC